ACGUGUAUCACAUACUGCAUACAGACCAACGUGUAUCACAUACUGCAUACGGACCAACAUCUGUCACUUACAUCAUAGUCCAGCAUGUGUCACAUACUGCAUACAGACCAACAUGUCUCACUUACAUCAUAGUCCAGCAUGUGUCACAUACUGCAUACAGACCAACAUGUGUCACAUACUGCAUACAGACAAACAUGUGUCACAUACUGCAUACAGACCAACAUGUGUCACUUACUGCAUACAGACCAACAUGUGUCACAUACUGCAUACAGACCAACAUGUGUCACAUACUGCAUACAGACCAACAU
rnacentral:misc_RNA from 1 species